rnacentral:rRNA from 1 species
ACGGAAGGCAGCAGUGGGGAAUAUUGCACAAUGGGCGAAAGCCUGAUGCAGCGACGCCGCGUGAGUGAAGAAGUAUCUCGGUAUGUAAAGCUCUAUCAGCAGGGAAGAAAAUGACGGUACCUGACUAAGAAGCCCCGGCUAACUACGUGCCAGCAGCCGCGGUAAUACGUAGGGGGCAAGCGUUAUCCGGAUUUACUGGGUGUAAAGGGAGCGUAGACGGUUUGGCAAGUCUGAAGUGAAAUGCGGGGGCUCAACUCCUGAACUGCUUUGGAAACUGUCGAACUAGAGUGCAGGAGAGGUAAGUGGAAUUCCUAGUGUAGCGGUGAAAUGCGUAGAUAUUAGGAGGAACACCAGUGGCGAAGGCGGCUUACUGGACUGUAACUGACGUUGAGGAUCGAAAGCGUGGGGAGCAAACAGGAUUAGAUACCCUGGUA